rnacentral:rRNA from 1 species
GAUGAACGCUGGCGGCGUGCCUAACACAUGCAAGUCGAGCGAAGCACUUUGAUUGGAUUCUUCGGAUGAAGAUAAUUGUGACUGAGCGGCGGACGGGUGAGUAACGCGUGGGCAACCUGCCUUACACAGGGGGAUAACAGUUAGAAAUGACUGCUAAUACCGCAUAAGACCCCAGAACCGCAUGGUUCUGAGGUAAAAACUCCGGUGGUGUAAGAUGGGCCCGCGUCUGAUUAGGUAGUUGGUGGGGUAACGGCCCACCAAGCCGACGAUCAGUAGCCGACCUGAGAGGGUGACCGGCCACAUUGGGACUGAGACACGGCCCAG